GGGUGUGAUCAUACCAGCACUAAUGCACCGGAUCCCAUCAGAACUCCGCAGUUAAGCGCGCUUGGGCUAGAGCAGUACUAGGAUGGGUGACCCCCUGGGAAGUCCUCGUGUUGCACCCCU
rnacentral:rRNA from 1 species